GGAGAGUGGCAGAGUGGUCGAAUGCGCCGGACUCGAAAUCCGGUAUACGUUUAGGCGUAUCGUGGUUCGAAUCCCACCCUCUCCGCCA
rnacentral:tRNA from 1 species